UUAAAAAGCUCGUAGUCGGAUUUUGGCUGAGAACGGUCGGUCCGCCGUUAGGUGUGCACUGACUGGUCUCAGCUUCCUGGUGAGGAGGUGUGCUUCAUCGCCACUUAGUCACCGUGGUUACUUUGAAAAAAUUAGAGUGUUCAAAGCGGGCUUACGCUUGAAUAUAUUAGCAUGGAAUAACACCAUAGGACUCCUGUCCUAUUUCGUUGGUCUCGGGACGGGAGUAAUGAUUAAGAGGAACAGUUGGGGGCAUUCGUAUUUCAUUGUCAGAGGUGAAAUUCUUGGAUUUAUGAAAGACGAACUUCUGCGAAAGCAUUUGCCAAGGAUGUUUUCAUUGAUCAAGAACGAAAGUUGGGGGCUCGAAGAUGAUUAGAUACCAUCCUAGUCUCAACCAUAAACGAUGCCGACUAGGGAUUGGCGGAUGUUAAUUGAUGACUUCGCCAGCACCUUAUGAGAAAUCAAAGUUUUUGGGUUCCGGGGGGAGUAUGGUCGCAAAGGCUGAAACUUAAAGGAAUUGACGGAAGGGCACCACCAGGCGUGGAGCCUGCGGCUUAAUUUGACUCAACA
rnacentral:rRNA from 1 species